rnacentral:rRNA from 1 species
CCUACGGGCGGCAGCAGUGAGGAAUAUUGCUCAAUGGGCGCGAGCCUGAACCAGCCAAGUAGCGUGAAGGAAGAAUGCCCUACGGGUUGUAAACUUCUUUUAUAAAGGAAUAAAGUGAGGCACGUGUGCCUUUUUGUAUGUACUUUAUGAAUAAGGAUCGGCUAACUCAGUGCCAGAAGCCGCGGUAAUACGGAGGAUCCGAGCGUUAUCCGGAUUUAUUGGGUUUAAAGGGAGCGUAGAUGGGUUGUUAAGUCAGUUGUGGAAGUUUGCGGCUCAACCGUAAAAUUGCAAUUGAUACUGGCAGGCUUGAGUACAGUAGAGGUAGGCGGAAUUCGAGGUGUAGCGGUGAAAUGCUUAGAUAUCACGAAGAACUCCGAUUGCGAAGGCAGCUUACUAAACUGCCACUGACAUUGAUGCUCGAAAGUGUGGGUAGCAAACAGGAUUAGAUACCCCAGUAGUC